UUGGAACCGCCGAUAAUGAUUCAAUCACAACAUUUUAAUAAUUUUCCCUCAAUAGGUUUUAGUAUUUCCCCCUCAAAAUUUAAGACUCCCUCCAGAAUUUGCCAAGUCUGGAAUUCCCCCGAUUUAACUCCUUCCCUUAGUUAAUAGGUCUACGUUUCUCUUUCCCCAAUUCCUUUCCCCGAUUCAUUCUAUUUCCCCACUUGCAACAAGAGGUUGUGAGUUUGAGUACACGCUGCCCUCCCAGACCCCAUUAACUAAGAUUAUACUGUUUUGUAUCUAACUUCAGAUUCUUCUAUUUCUCCCGGUCUGUUUCUCCCGCUAGAAGAAUCGAGAUUCAAAUCAGAAAAAGUAAAUGAAAUUCGUUUAGCAGCUUCAAUAAUCUUCAGGUAGCCGAGGGAUCAAAAACUGCUGGUGAAGCUAUUGGGAUUGACGUCGUCAGUUAGACAUUUGAUAGGGCAGUCAUCACAGGCUCAAGCUUUAUCUUCAACAUCUUAUCGAGUCUCUUUACAUCCUACACUGCCUACACAACCUACACGGCCUGCUAUUUCAGUUGAUGGAGUCUCUUCGCAGCACGUUGUUCCAUCUUCAUCAUUUGAUGGAGUCUCUUCACAGCAUGUUGUUCGAUCUUCAUCAUCUGAUGGAGUAUCUUCUCAGCCUGCCAUUCCAUCUUCAUCAUCUGAUGUAGUCUCUUCACGGUGAACUAGACAUACUACUAACGAUGAAGAGCCCCAUUGGUUUGUCGAUGUUAUAGGAAAGAAUUGAAGAAAUUCGAAGUCAAAGAACAGAAAGUCUUGAUGAACCUUCACCAAAUGAUGCACUUGGCAUAGUAUUCGGUCCCGAGCACCCCGGCCGUGUUCGAGGUUUAGGCUUGGUUGUAGUUCCAACUGUAGCGUUCAAACAGACAUCUGCGCGAUACCGUCGUGGUUAUGUAGAUUCAUCUAGCACUACCGCUCCAACUCCACAGUGGCAGUAAGAGAUGACAGAUAUGAAAUCAAAAGUAAAUGCACUAAUUAGCUUAUGUGAAAGGAAUAUAGGGAAUAUCCCUGAGCAGUUUUCUCACUUAUUUUCCACUCCUCCACAGGCACCGGACUUAGGAAGUGGUGCCCCAUCAACUGUUGGACCAAGAAGAUCUUCAGAUGAAAGUAAUAAUGAUGAUCGUCCUAGUGUGAAUUAGUGAUUAUUUUGUAGGAUCAACUAUGAAUCUUUUGGAUUUUACUGUGGAAAUACACUUUGAAGCACUAAUAUUUUGAUGAUGUAAUUUUGGUAUA